ensembl:lncRNA
GUCAAGGCUGGAGGCCGCCUGGGGCAAAGGGAUCGUGAGAUGCUAGAUUUCUCAAUCCUUGUUGAACCACGGAGGGGAGUCAGCAGAACUGCCACCUUGGACUGCCGGAGAGCAAACUCGAACCUCUUUAGGACCAUGGUUGAGAGGGUCCCUUGGGAAGUACUUUUGGAGGGCGUGGGAGCCCAGGAAGGCUGGCAGUACUUUCCAGAAGUAAUUUUAAAGGUGCAGGAGCUGACCAUCCCCAGGUCAUGGAAGAUGAGCUGAUGGGCAAGGAGGCUGGACUGGCUGAACAGAGACCUUCCACUGGAACUCAAGAGCAAAAUGAAAGAUUAUGGUCUGUGGAAGAGUGGGCAAGCUACUUAUGAUGAUUACAGGAACUCCGCCACAGCAGCAUUUUCCAGUCCGUGGCACCUUGAUCCCAGGAUGUGCUCCGCACCGUGCUUCUAGGGCAUCAACAUCUGCUGCUGCACAAAGGCCCCUGAAAGGAAAAGCACCCUCGCACGUUUGCGCUGCUCCCACACUCCCCAGAACUGUCUCUCAAAUCUCACAUAACACAGACUCUCUCAGACUCUUGGCUGCAGCCCAAUAGCACAGCAUCCCCUCUCUCACUUCAUGAGCCAAGAGGCCAUAGUUUGUCAUCCCCUCUCUCACUUCAUGAG